rnacentral:lncRNA from 1 species
AAUAAAACAAAACCGCUUUUAACAAAAGAAUAAAAUAAAACCAAUUUUUUUGUAAAUAAAAUGGGUCUCUUGUUUUAAAAUAAUCAAAAGGAAGAAAUAACGAAAACCCAAGGGGUUGCCCCCACAUUUAAUAAAAUGAUGUUUAAAAGAAGACGUGUUUAUUUUGAAGGGGUUAAAACUGAAAUCUUUAGCAAAAGCACAAAAAUGAAAUAAGAGGGGAGAAAAGGUUUUAGGUCCGCGGUGUAACAGGGUUUAAAGCUGCUCUGUUGCACCCACUCUCAUCACGCCAACGAACAACGCCACACUCAUAAAGAACUCACAAGCA